rnacentral:rRNA from 1 species
GGAGUGCUUGCACUCUGUGAAACAAGAUACAGGCUAGCGGCGGACGGGUGAGUAACACGUGGGUAACCUGCCCAAGAGAUCGGGAUAACACCUGGAAACAGAUGCUAAUACCGGAUAACAACAGAUGAUGCCUAUCAACUGUUUAAAAGAUGGUUCUGCUAUCACUCUUGGAUGGACCUGCGGCGCAUUAGCUAGUUGGUAGGGUAACGGCCUACCAAGGCGAUGAUGCAUAGCCGAGUUGAGAGACUGAUCGGCCACAUUGGGACUGAGACACGGCCCAAACUCCUACGGGAGGCAGCAGUAGGGAAUCUUCCACAAUGGACGCAAGUCUGAUGGAGCAACGCCGCGUGAGUGAAGAAGGGUUUCGGCUCGUAAAGCUCUGUUGUUGGUGAAGAAGGACAGGGGUAGUAACUGACCUUUGUUUGACGGUAAUCAAUUAGAAAGUCACGGCUAACUACGUGCCAGCAGCCGCGGUAAUACGUAGGUGGCAAGCGUUGUCCGGAUUUAUUGGGCGUAAAGCGAGUGCAGGCGGCUCGAUAAGUCUGAUGUGAAAGCCUUCGGCUCAACCGGAGAAUUGCAUCAGAAACUGUCGAGCUUGAGUACAGAAGAGGAGAGUGGAACUCCAUGUGUAGCGGUGAAAUGCGUAGAUAUAUGGAAGAACACCGGUGGCGAAGGCGGCUCUCUGGUCUGUUACUGACGCUGAGGCUCGAAAGCAUGGGUAGCGAACAGGAUUAGAUACCCUGGUAGUCCAUGCCGUANACGAUGAGUGCUAAGUGUUGGGAGGUUUCCGCCUCUCAGUGCUGCAGCUAACGCAUUAAGCACUCCGCCUGGGGAGUACGACCGCAAGGUUGAAAC